rnacentral:rRNA from 1 species
GCAUAUCAAUAAGCGGAGGAAAAGAAACCAACAGGGAUUGCCUCAGUAACGGCGAGUGAAGCGGCAACAGCUCAAAUUUGAAAUCUGGCCUCGUGCCCGAGUUGUAAUUUGUAGAGGAUGCUUUCGGCGCGGCGCCUUCCGAGUUCCCUGGAACGGGACGCCACAGAGGGUGAGAGCCCCGUAUGGUCGGAUGCCAAGCCAUUGUAAAGCUCCCUCGACGAGUCGAGUAGUUUGGGAAUGCUGCUCAAAAUGGGAGGUAAAUUUCUUCUAAAGCUAAAUACCGGCCAGAGACCGAUAGCGAAAAAGUAGAGUGAUCGAAAGAUGAAAAGCACUUUGAAAAGAGGGUUAAACAGCACGUGAAAUUGUUGAAAGGGAAGCGCUUGUGACCAGACCUGCGCCUGGGGGAUCAUCCGGCGUUCUCGCCGGUGCACUCCGCUAGGCUGCAGGCCAGCAUCGGUUCUCCUAGGGGGAUAAAAGCUUCGGGAACGUGGCUCCUUAGUGAGUGUUAUAGCCCGUUGCACAAUACCCUUGGGGGGACCGAGGUACGCGCUCCGCAAGGAUGCUGGCGUAAUGGUCAUCAGCGACCCGUCUUGAAACACGGACCAAGGAGUCAAGCAUUAGGGCGAGUGUUUGGGUGUAAAACCCGCACGCGAAAUGAAAGUGAACGUAGGUGAGAGCUUCGGCGCAUCAUCGACCGAUCCUGAUGUUCUCGGAUGGAUUUGAGUAAGAGCCUUACCGCUUGGACCCGAAAGAUGGUGAACUAUGCCUGUAUAGGGUGAAGCCAGAGGAAACUCUGGUGGAGGCUCGCAGCGGUUCUGACGUGCAAAUCGAUCGUCAAAUAUGGGCAUGGGGGCGAAAGACUAAUCGAACUAUCUAGUAGCUGGUUACCGCCGAA